GUGGCUUUAGAUUCAUAUAUAGUAUAUUUCUUUCCCUAUUUUAUAUGAAAAUAUAAAAUUAGUGAUACCUAAAGGACUCCAAAUAUUUGCACCACCUAUUGAAAAGUAGAAAUUCUCUUUACAAGAAUAUUCAAUGUGACCACAUCUAUACACAGCUAUAUUAAUAUUUUCCUCUUUUCCUUUCUUUCUUUUAUUUUCAUUCAUUCAUUCAUUUAUUUAUUCAUUCAUUCAUUCAUUCAUUUAUUGAAACUCUGUCUUGCUCUGUAGCCCCGACUGGAAUGCAGUGGCAUGCUCAUGGCUCACUUCAGAUUUGAUCUCCUAGGUUUAAGCAAUCUUCCCACCUCAGCCUCUCUAGUAGCUGGGAUCACAGGUGUCCAAGCCCAGCUAUUUUUUUUUUAACUUAAAAAUCUUUUUUUUGUUGUUUUUGAUGGGGGUCUCCAAAUGUUUCCCAGACUGAUCUUCAACUCCUGAGCUCAAGUGAUACCACCGUGGCCUCCCAAAGGGCUGUGUUUACAGGCAUGAACCACUGUGUUUGGCCAUAUUUUCUUAACAUAUAAAUUAUUAUUUUCUAUCACUCACAGUUGUUUGAAACUUUUUAAAUGUAUUAGUAAAGGCAUGUAAUUUUAUGUGUGACUUUUUCUAAGGCCAAAUUCAUUUUCCUUCCUUCUCUCUUUCUUCAUUCCUAGUCCAUUUCCAUGGGUACUACAUUAACAUGAUGCUUCAAAUUCGUGUCCCCAGAUAUUUUCUCAUCAUGAAGUAAUACAAGCUACACAAGUCCACCUUUCACUCAAUGUUAGCAAUUAAACUUUAGCCCCUUGUUUCACUAUGUAGCUAUGAAAGAGGAAGCACAUAUCAGUUAAAUUUACUGUUUUAUUCUCUGUUUUUACUUUCUAGAAAUGAUUUAUUUUUAUAUACCUCACAUUCACAAUAAUUAGUGUUGUGAUUGGAAGAUACCGUUCAGUAAAUUCUAGAUUCCAUCUGAUUUGCACAUAUCACUAGAUUAAAGAUUUGUAAAGAAAUAUGAACUAUCAGCUUUAAAUUAAGUCAGUCAUAGUAAACCACCUGUCAACUGAGUCAUUAGAGGGAACUGUGCUAUUUAGUUUCUCUAGAUUAACUACGCAGAGCUAAAAAAUCAGCAGUAGUGUUAAUUCUAUUUCUCCAGAAAAAAAGUUCAGUGUUUCCUCCAGGCAUUGGUCAUUAGGGAGUACCUUAUCUGAGGGGCGUGCCUAAAUAUGGCAUUGUUUUGCUUGGAGGUGUUCUCUUGAGAAGAUUGGUAUUAUGCUUGACUUUUUCCCAGAAAGGGGUGGAGAUGUAGCUUGAGGUUCCUUUCUAAAUUGAAAUUGGUUUUAUAAACUGGUUGAUGUGUGUUUUGCAAUUGAAAUACCAAAAAAGAAUGAAAUAACUUCAUUCUCAUACUCUGUUGCAGUCACCUAUAAGACAUAUUCAAGGAGAAAUAAAAAAUAGCAGAAAAUUACAAAAUACAUAUCCAUAUGAAAUAUUCUUGUAGCUAAUGAGUUUAUUCUUAAGCUGGUUUUGUCAUCUAUGAAUGCACUUUACUUAAGUUGUCAGAUAAGGUUGUCUUAUCCACAUACAAUUUAUGCUUAAUGGUUAAUCAUUUUAAACAUUAUAAAUAUACUCAAAAUUUUAAUUGACGGCUCUAUUUUAUGUGUUUGAAAUAAUUUGAAUCCAUGCAUUCUGUACAUUUUAACUUUUUUUUUUUUUUUUUUUAAGAUGGAGUCUCGCUCUGUAGCCCAGGCUGGAAUGCAAUGGCGUGAUUUUGGCUCAUUCCAACCUCCGCCUCCCAGUAGCUGGGAUUAUAGGUGCCCACCACCACACCCAGCUAGUUUUUGUAUUUUUAGUAGAAACAGGGUUUCACCAUGUCAGUCAAGCUGGUUUUGAACUUCUGAUCUCAAGCAAUCCACCCACCUCGGCCUCCGAAAGUGCUGGGAUUACAGUCUCACUCUGUCACCCCGGCUGGAGUGCAAUGGUGUGGUCUCCGCUCACUGCAACCCCCGUCUCCUGGGUUCAAGCAAUUCCAUGAGGAUAAUUUUAUUAGCUACAGUUAUUUCAGUCCUUGAGGAAUCGCCACACUGUCUUCCACAAUGGUUGAACUAAUUUACGCUCCCACCAGCAGUGUAGAAGUGUUCCUAUUUCUCCACAUCCUCUCCAGCAUCUGAUGUCUCCAGAUUUUUUAAGGAUCACCAUUCUACCUGGCAUGAGGUCCCAUUUUAACGUACCUGAAGAUCCAGUGUCUGGUGAGGACACUAUUCCUGGUUUGCCGAUGACUGUCUUCUAGUUGCAUCUGCACAUGGCAGAGAGAAGAGAAAAAGGUCUUGCCUGUCAUUUCUGCUGGGGGUGCAGUGCCAUACGAUCACCACUCACUGCAUACUCAACCUCCUGGGGCCAAGCAAGCCUCCUGCCUCAUCUUCCCAAGUUCUGGGGUAUAUGUAAAGAACAUGCAGGAUUGUUGCAUAGGUCCUUGAAGAAUCGCCACACUGUCUUCCACAAUGGUUGAACUAAUUUACACUCCCACCAACAGUGUAAAAGUGUUCCUAUUUCUCCACAUCCUCUCCAGCAUCUGUUGUCUCCAGAUUUUUUAAUGAUCGCCAUUCUAACGGGUAUGAGAUGGUAUCUCAAUGUAGUUUAGAUUUGCAUUUCUCUAAUGACCAUUGAUGAUGAGCAUUUUUUCAUAUUUUUGUUGGCCUCAUAUAUGUUUCCUUUUGAGAAGUGUCUGUUCAUAUACUUUGCCCACUUUUGAAUGGGUUUGUUUGUUUUAUUUCUUGUAAAUCUGUUUUAGUUCUUUUAUUUAUUUAUUUAUUUAUUUUUUAAUUGCGUUUUAGGUUUUGGGGUACAUGUGCAGAACACGCAAGAUAGUUGCAUAGGUACAUACA